rnacentral:rRNA from 1 species
GACGAACGCUGGCGGCGUGCUUAACACAUGCAAGUCGAACGGAAAGGCCCUUCGGGGUACUCGAGUGGCGAACGGGUGAGUAACACGUGGGUGAUCUGCCCUGCACUUUGGGAUAAGCCUGGGAAACUGGGUCUAAUACCGAAUAGGACCACGCGCUUCAUGGUGUGUGGUGGAAAGCUUUUGCGGUGUGGGAUGGGCCCGCGGCCUAUCAGCUUGUUGGUGGGGUAAUGGCCUACCAAGGCGACGACGGGUAGCCGGCCUGAGAGGGUGACCGGCCACACUGGGACUGAGAUACGGCCCAGACCCCUACGGGAGGCAGCAGUGGGGAAUAUUGCACAAUGGGCGCAAGCCUGAUGCAGCGACGCCGCGUGAGGGAUGACGGCCUUCGGGUUGUAAACCUCUUUCAAUAGGGACGAAGCGCAAGUGACGGUACCUAUAGAAGAAGCACCGGCCAACUACGUGCCAGCAGCCGCGGUAAUACGUAGGGUGCGAGCGUUGUCCGGAAUUACUGGGCGUAAAGAGCUCGUAGGUGGUUUGUCGCGUUGUUCGUGAAAACUCACAGCUUAACUGUGGGCGUGCGGGCGAUACGGGCAGACUAGAGUACUGCAGGGGAGACUGGAAUUCCUGGUGUAGCGGUGGAAUGCGCGGAUAUCAGGAGGAACACCGGUGGCGAAGGCGGGUCUCUGGGCAGUAACUGACGCUGAGGAGCGAAAGCGUGGGGAGCGAACAGGAUUAGAUACCCUGGUAGUCCACGCCGUAAACGGUGGGUACUAGGUGUGGGUUCCUUCCUUGGGAUCCGUGCCGUAGCUAACGCAUUAAGUACCCCGCCUGGGGAGUACGGCCGCAAGGCUAAAACUCAAAGGAAUUGACGGGGGCCCGCACAAGCGGCGGAGCAUGUGGAUUAAUUCGAUGCAACGCGAAGAACCUUACCUGGGUUUGACAUGCACAGGACGCCGGCAGAGAUGUCGGUUCCCUUGUGGCCUGUGUGCAGGUGGUGCAUGGCUGUCGUCAGCUCGUGUCGUGAGAUGUUGGGUUAAGUCCCGCAACGAGCGCAACCCUUGUCCUAUGUUGCCAGCGGGUUAUGCCGGGGACUCGUAGGAGACUGCCGGGGUCAACUCGGAGGAAGGUGGGGAUGACGUCAAGUCAUCAUGCCCCUUAUGUCCAGGGCUUCACACAUGCUACAAUGGCCGGUACAAAGGGCUGCGAUGCCGUGAGGUGGAGCGAAUCCUUUCAAAGCCGGUCUCAGUUCGGAUCGGGGUCUGCAACUCGACCCCGUGAAGUCGGAGUCGCUAGUAAUCGCAGAUCAGCAACGCUGCGGUGAAUACGUUCCCGGGCCU